ensembl:misc_RNA 7SK 7SK RNA
GUGUGUUCUCAGCAAAGUGGCUCACCUCACUGACUCCCGGGUCCAUUCUACUGAUCUGGCUUUCUAGCCUUCCUCACACCUGCAUGUGUGUCUAUCCCAAAACUGCACACUCGGUCAAGGAAGAUGGUGUUCCCUGAGGGAGAAAACCAUUACUUCAUAAAGGGUAUACAAGUAGCUGCACCUCCUCCAAACAAGCUUGCAAGAAUCAAUGAGGGAAUGGUAUAGCUCUAAGGACAAAAGAGAUACGGUAUUCUC